rnacentral:tRNA from 1 species
CCUGUAGCUCAAUUGGAUAGAGCAACGGCCUUCUAAGCCGUAGGUUGCAGGUUCGAGCCCUGCCAGG